AGUAGUGCCCCCGGUCCCGGCCGCAGCCGUUGUCCCGGCUGCCUCCUUCUCUCCACGGUGCUUCUUUGACGACCCCAUAAUUAGGUCGUCCGCCUGGAGCCGGGCCGCUACCCGAGCCCAGACGACGCAAAAUGGGAACACUUCCGGGUCGCGCGACCUCCCCGCUCCUGUUGCCGGAAACUAAGAGGGGCUGUUUCCGGGGCCUGCCUGGGAACCGCCAAAGGCUCUUGGGAGAGUGCGCGUUUCCGCCUGCCAGUAAGAUCCUACAGUGGUCUCAUUGGAAGGUGGAGACAAUCACCCUGGCCCACCUUCCUGGGUGACGUGAAGAACACUGGAAGGAUAGCUUGUCCCACCUCACCUGUGUUUCCGGGGUAUGCCCUCUGCCUUGCCGGCCUCAGCCAGCAGCUGUUCCUCAUCUACUCCAAAUGCUGACAACACCUGGGAGAAGCGCCGAUUUGCAGUGAGCUUGGCGUUGGUCUGAUGGGAGAAAAGAAAGGUUCCUACCCUUCACCAAGUGACCCUGCUGGGGUCACUGUGGGUCCCAGGCCUUCUGGGGAGAGCAGAUGCGACCCCACUCCAGCUUUGCUUCAGUACACGCUUGUCGAAGCAGCUCCAUUGGUGGUAAUGGUGGUGGGCCCGCUGCACAGCUGUUAGCCUCACCUGCAUGACCUGCUGAAACAGGAAGGGUCGGGCCUGCACCCUAUGCUGGAUGCCUUGGAGCUCUGCUUGGUACUCAGCAAAACGCUGUCGUUCCUUGCGCCUUGAACAGAGAGAUAGGACAGGCCUCUGAAUAGACACUUCCCAGGCUGAAGCCUGCUGGUCUUCCUUGAAGCUUAUUCACAUAAAAGUUCCCCUGAUACUUACAACGGCAUUAUACUCCCAUCCCAGCCCUUUACUUCUUGGGUGGGAUUACCAGGGUGGGGGGUGUUGGCCCCAUUUUACUGCUGGCUCAAGAAGGUGGUGGGGACUUAUUCUAGAUUGUAGGAUUAAGCACCUGUCCUGGGUUUAGGCUAUGUACAUCCAGGGUUUGCCCAACCUUCUGACCACACCCAAAGGAGGGAGCCUGUCCUGGCUUCCACAGCCUCCCAUCUGUCAACCACUUCCCCUUAUACUCCUCCUUUUGCCGCUUUGAGGAUGCUGUGUAUCGUGUGAUCUGGGGAGCCUUAGUUGAGUCCACUUGCCUUCACUACAGCAGGGUGGGGCAGUGCGCCCAGGUCCCUUAUGCCUUCUCUGUGUAGACAGCUUAGAAGGUGACAGGAACCAACCAAUGGUAUUGCAAAUAAAAGAACAUCUCCCAAAA